GAUGAAGAACGCAGCGAACUGCGAUAAGUAAUGUGAAUUGCAGAAUUCAGUGAAUCAUCGAGUCUUUGAACGCACAUUGCGCCCCCUGGCAUUCCGGGGGGCAUGCCUGUCCGAGCGUCAUUGCUGCCCUUCAAGCCCGGCUUGUGUGUUGGGUCGUCGUCCCCCCCGGGGGACGGGCCCGAAAGGCAGCGGCGGCACCGCGUCCGGUCCUCGAGCGUAUGGGGCUUUGUCACCCGCUCGAUUAGGGCCGGCCGGGCGCCAGCCGGCGUCUCCAACCUUCUAUUUUACCAGGUUGACCUCGUAUCAGGUAGGGAUACCCGCUGAACUUAAGCAUAUCAAUAAGCGGAGGA
rnacentral:misc_RNA from 1 species